GACGAACGCUGGCGGCGUGCUUAACACAUGCAAGUCGAACGGAAAGGCCCUGCUUGCAGGGUACUCGAGUGGCGAACGGGUGAGUAACACGUGGGUGAUCUGCCCUGCACUUCGGGAUAAGCUUGGGAAACUGGGUCUAAUACCGGAUAGGACCGCACUUUAGUGUGUGUGGUGGAAAGUUUUUUCGGUGUAGGAUGAGCUCGCGGCCUAUCAGCUUGUUGGUGGGGUAAUGGCCUACCAAGGUGGCGACGGGUAGCCGGCCUGAGAGGGUGUACGGCCACAUUGGGACUGAGAUACGGCCCAGACCCCUACGGGAGGCAGCAGUGGGGAAUAUUGCACAAUGGGCGCAAGCCUGAUGCAGCGACGCCGCGUGGGGGAUGAAGGCCUUCGGGUUGUAAACUCCUUUCGCUAGGGACGAAGCUUUUUGUGACGGUACCUAGAUAAGAAGCACCGGCUAACUACGUG
rnacentral:rRNA from 1 species